rnacentral:rRNA from 1 species
ACGCUAGCUACAGGCUUAACACAUGCAAGUCGAGGGGCAGCAUGGAAGAAGCUUGCUUCUUCUGAUGGCGACCGGCGCACGGGUGCGUAACGCGUAUCAAACCUGCCUCAUACUCGGGGAUAGCCUUGCGAAAGUAAGAUUAAUACCCGAUGUUGUUAUGUUGCCGCAUGGUGAUAUAACCAAAGAUUUAUCGGUAUGAGAUGGUGAUGCGUCCGAUUAGGUAGUAGGCGGGGUAACGGCCCACCUAGCCUUCGAUCGGUAGGGGUUCUGAGAGGAAGGUCCCCCACACUGGAACUGAGACACGGUCCAGACUCCUACGGGAGGCAGCAGUGAGGAAUAUUGGUCAAUGGACGCAAGUCUGAACCAGCCAAGUAGCGUGCAGGAUGACGGCCCUCCGGGUUGUAAACUGCUUUUAGUUGGGAAUAAAAAAGAGGACGUGUCCUCUAUUGUAUGUACCUUCAGAAAAAGGACCGGCUAAUUCCGUGCCAGCAGCCGCGGUAAUACGGAAGGUCCAGGCGUUAUCCGGAUUUAUUGGGUUUAAAGGGAGCGUAGGCGGAUUAUUAAGUCAGUGGUGAAAGACGGUGGCUCAACCAUCGUUAGCCAUUGAAACUGGUAGUCCUGAGUGCAGACAGGGAUGCUGGAACUCGUGGUGUAGCGGUGAAAUGCUUAGAUAUCACGAUGAACUCCGAUCGCGAAGGCAGGUGUCCGGGCUGCAACUGACGCUGAGGCUCGAAAGUGUGGGUAUCAAACAGGAUUAGAUACCCUGGUAGUCCACACAGUAAACGAUGUAUACUCGCGGUUUGCGAUACAAUGUAAGCCGCCAAGCGAAAGCAUUAAGUAUACCACCUGGGGAGUACGCCGGCAACGGUGAAACUCAAAGGAAUUGACGGGGGCCCGCACAAGCGGAGGAACAUGUGGUUU